GUAAUUGUGGGUGUGAGGUAUUAGUGUUUGCAACAUAGAGUAGUGGAGACGAUGACAUAAGAACAAAGCAAAAUUACAUAGACACUAAGAACAAAGGAAAGUGGUGGAGACGAUGACAUAAGAACAAAAUAACAUAGACGUUAUUAAAGCUAAAAUGUUCAAUUAUCAACAUUAGAACAAAGCAAAAUUAUAUAGGUUAAUCCAUUCAUAAUCUACUAGGAGUACAAAACACAGAAUGUCCUAAUAAUAUAUCCGACAAUAUGCAUAUCAACUGAAGAACAAAAAAAGGCAUUAGUAUAUUGAUAUUAAUACUAACAGAAAACAAUCCAGCAGCCAUUACAUAUUUCUCUUGCCAUUAGAACUCAACUAACCAAGCGAGCUAUAACAUCAUGCAUAAAAAUUGACUCUAGUUUAUCAAUUUAUCACGAAUUAAAAUUUAAUCUAGUAAUUAGAAAAAAUAAUAUAAGGAAAACUAUUAAAAUACAAAUAAACAGACUUGUUUCUGAUUGGCUAGUUCUUUAAGGUGAGGAUCGCACCUCAUUUGAUAUCCACCGUUGAUAAAAGUAAAAUCAACGGAUACAUUUACUUCUUUUACCUCGAGAUUUACACACGUCUCUACGAGAUCUUUGGCUUCCUUCCCUCUCUCAUAGCCAUGGCUGCUUUCACAUGUACUUCUCGCCCUCCAGUUUCUCUCCGUUCGAAUGGGAUCUUUAACAUCGGCUUCACACUCUUUGCUCGACGGAUGUUCACCUUGUAUCCUUCUUUCUCACUCUCCGGCUUCGUUGACCUCGAUUCAUCCUAGGUGGCUAUCUGUUCAAAGCUUUUUUGCUUAUCGGUGAUUCUGGUCUGGGUUUAUCAUCUUGCGUACUCUCUCUCUCUUUAACAUUGAACAGAGACACACACAAAAAUAACAAAUUAUGGGUCCUUUGGAGUUCGAUAUUAGUUGUUCAAAGUCGUUAUGCUUAGUUCUAACUUUACUAUAUGUAUCAUUGUUGCGUCUUUGUGUGUUUUAAUAUCCUGAUAUCUCUACUUUUAAUUGAUUUAUGUUUAUUUUCUCAUUCACGCAGAUAUUGCUAAAAAUUAAGACCCGUGUUCUUAAGGAUAUCAAAGAAGAUGUUUCGAGGAAGAAGUUUCAAUGGAAGAAGAAGAAGAAGCUGUAGAUGUUUUUUUGUAACCAAUUGGUCCAAUUGGAUGUGUAGUUUUUUAUGUAUAUAAUUAUUUUUGUUAACUUUUA